rnacentral:rRNA from 1 species
GAGUUCACAUCGGCGGCGCGGUUUGGCACCUCGAUGUCGGCCCAUCGCAUCCUGGGGCUGGAGCAGGUCCCAAGGGUUCGGCUGUUCGCCGAUUAAAGCGGUACGCGAGCUGGGUUUAAAACGUCGUGAGACAGUUUGGUCUCUAUCUGCCGUGGGCGCAGGACACUUGAGAGGAGCUAUCCAUAGUACGAGAGGACCUGGAUGGACGUGCCUCUUGUGAUCCGGUUGUCACGCCAGUGGCAUAGCCGGGUAGCAAUGUACGGAACAGAUAACCGCUGAAAGCAUCUAAGCGGGAAGCUAGCCUCGAGAUUAGGUGUCCCGGUCGCAAGACCCUAAAGACCCCUUGUAGACUACAAGGUUGAUAGGCCGGAGGUGGAAGCGUAGCGAUACGCGGAGCUGACCGGUACUAAUAGGUCGUGCGGCUUGACCUA